CUACGGGAGGCAGCAGUGAGGAAUAUUGGUCAAUGGGCGAGAGCCUGAACCGGCCAAGUAGCGUGAGGGAUGACUGCCCUAUGGGUUGUAAACCUCUUUUGCAGGGGGGUAAAGUGGUUCACGUGUGGACCAUUGCAAGUACCCUGCGAAUAAGGAUCGGCUAACUCCGUGCCAGCAGCCGCGGUAAUACGGAGGAUCCGAGCGUUAUCCGGAUUUAUUGGGUUUAAAGGGAGCGUAGGCGGGGGUUUAAGUCAGCUGUGAAAUGCCGUGGCCCAACCAUGGAACUGCAGUUGAAACUGGACCUCUUGAGAGUACAUAAGGAAGGCGGAAUUCGUGGUGUAGCGGUGAAAUGCAUAGAUAUCACGAAGAACUCCGAUUGCGAAGGCAGCUUUCCGGGGUACAUCUGACGCUGAAGCUCGAAAGUGCGGGAAUCAAACAGGAUUAGAAACCCUGGUAGUCC
rnacentral:rRNA from 1 species